AAAGACAAAAAGGAAUUGAGACAAUUUCGGAAUUACCCCUCCGAUCUGGCACUCACUGGCGUGUUCAAAUCCCGAAUUCCAUUUGGAACACUCUUUUUUUUGCUUCUUCUGCCUCUUCUUCUCUUGCGCUGUUUCUCAACAGUUUGGGUUGCGUCUCCCAGAGACAGAGGGACCUUCUCCUCCUCCUUCUUCUUCUCCUUCUUCUCUCGUCCAUGGACCUUCACAACCGACCGGAUCACUGUUUUCCGGAGAAGAAAGGUCAGAAGAGGAAGUUGGAGGAGGAUUUCGAAGACGACCGACAGAUCUCCGCCCCUCCCACCGGCCACGCGAGAGACGCCCUCCUUUCCGACGUCAAGGAACAGGUCAUCGUUCUUGAUUCAACCUUCUCAUGGAAGGAAUCCGAUCGUGCUGCCGCCAAGCGCGCCACGCACGCCCUUGCCGAUCUCGCCAAAAACGAGGAAGUGGUGAACGUGAUUGUUGAAGGAGGCGCAAUUCCUGCUCUGGUUAAACAUCUUCAAGCGCCUCCUCUGGCUGGAAGCGACCGGUUGCAGAGGCCAAUGCCGUUUGAGCACGAGGUCGAGAAAGGAAGUGCUUUCGCGCUUGGACUUCUCGCAGUCAAGCCGGAGCACCAGCAGCUCAUCGUUGACAGCGGUGCUUUGAAACAUCUCGUUGAUCUUUUGAAGAGACAUGAAAAUGGCUUAACAUCUCGUGCCAUUAAUAGUCUAAUUCGUAGGGCUGCAGACGCGAUUACUAAUCUUGCGCACGAGAAUAGUAGUAUUAAGACUAGUGUCAGGAUGGAAGGUGGGAUUCCACCGCUCGUUCAUUUACUUGAAUUUGCGGAUACAAAGGUGCAAAGAGCAGCUGCUGGUGCAUUGCGAACCCUUGCUUUUAAAAAUGAUGAAAAUAAAAAUCAGAUUGUUGAAUGCAAUGCCCUUCCAACUCUGAUUCUAAUGCUUCGUUCAGAAGAUGCUGCUAUUCAUUAUGAAGCGGUUGGUGUGAUUGGAAAUCUGGUCCACUCUUCUCCUAACAUAAAGAAAGAAGUUAUUCUUGCUGGAGCCCUACAACCGGUCAUCGGAUUACUUAGCUCCUGUUGCUCCGAAAGCCAGAGGGAAGCAGCCUUGUUACUUGGACAGUUUGCAGCAACUGAUUCAGACAGCAAGGUUCACAUUGUUCAGAGGGGUGCUGUCGGACCUCUGAUAGACAUGCUUCAGUCUCCUGAUGUUCAGCUAAAAGAAAUGUCUGCUUUUGCAUUGGGGAGAUUGGCCCAGGACACACAUAACCAAGCUGGUAUUGCACACAAUGGUGGCUUGAUUCCAUUACUGAAGCUUCUUGACUCAAAAAAUGGGUCUUUGCAACAUAAUGCUGCUUUUGCUCUUUACGGCCUUGCAGAUAAUGAGGAUAAUGUGGCCGAUUUUAUUAGGGUAGGUGGAAUUCAGAGACUUCAGGAUGGAGAGUUUAUUGUUCAAGCAACUAAGGAUUGUGUUGCAAAGACAUUAAAAAGAUUAGAAGAGAAGAUUCAUGGGCGAGUGCUGAACCAUUUGUUAUAUCUCAUGCGAGUCUCAGAGAAGGCUUUUCAAAGAAGAGUUGCUUUGGCUCUUGCUCACCUUUGUUCUGCAGAUGACCAGAGAAAAAUAUUUAUUGAUCACCAUGGUUUGGAAUUGCUUAUGGGGCUUCUUGGCUCGUAUUAUAAUCCUAAGCAACAACUUGAUGGAGCUGUGGCUUUAUGCAAGUUGGCCAAUAAAGCCACGACUCUGUCUCCUGUGGAUGCUGCACCCCCAUCUCCCACACCCCAGGUCUAUUUGGGAGAGCAGUAUGUAAACAAUGCUACCUUGUCUGACGUUACAUUUCUAGUUGAAGGCAAACGAUUUUAUGCUCACAGAAUUUGUCUGCUUGCAUCUUCAGACGCAUUUCGUGCUAUGUUUGAUGGAGGUUAUAGGGAGAAGGAGGCAAGGGACAUAGAGAUUCCAAACAUUAGAUGGGAGGUUUUUGAGUUGAUGAUGAGAUUUAUAUACACGGGAUCAGUUGAGAUCACGCUUGACAUUGCCCAAGAUCUCCUCCGAGCAGCUGAUCAAUAUCUUUUAGAAGGACUCAAGAGACUCUGUGAGUACACGAUUGCGCAGGAUAUAUCACUUGAGAGCGUAUCAAGUAUGUAUGAACUUUCUGAAGCAUUUAAUGCUAUAUCGUUGAGGCACACAUGCAUCCUUUUUAUCUUGGAACACUUUGAUAAAUUGAGUGUAAAGCCAGGACACUCCCAUCUGAUUCAGCGUAUAAUACCUGAGAUCCAGAAUUACUUUGUUAAGGCCCUUACAAAGGCCAAUUCCAACAAUCAACCGUAGCAUUUCCUGUUCUAUUUGACAUCUAACCAGUUGCAAUGUACAUAAUGCGGUCGAUGUUAAUUGAACCUGAAGUCUCCUGGAUUGAGUGCGGCAUGGCUUAAAAAUUCUAACAUCAGGUCUACGUUCUUUUCUGAUGCAGUAAGUUGUGGUGAGUUUAAAGAAUCCCCCAACUCACUCCCAACGGUGUACUUUCAAUCGGAAUGGGCCAAUCGGCCGAACUCAAGUCUUUUUAUGCUCGUUUCAUGAUUAGAGUAGACUGCAAGUCAUUCUUUGCACGUGCAUGAGAUAGACAAGAUGCUGCUCUUUCUCUUCGAUGUUUCACUUCCCUUUCCACCCACUCUCCUUCACAGCCUUAUACUACAAGAUUGUUCUGUCCAAGUGCAGGCUGUCCUUACCUGCAACAGCAACAAGCAUCUUAGAAUCAUGAUGAGGCAAGCUAGGAGCCGCAGGAGUCAUUGGAUUGAUCAUGGGGUUGUUUAACCCACCAGUUGCAUCAGAGUAAACAAAGUUCCUAAUGAAGGACGGAUGGGCCUCUUCAAACCCAUAAUAGGUUUGCGCACGCUAGGCUUUGAAGCCCAGAAAUAAGGGUGGUUAACAUAAAUACAUGAACUUUUAAACCACCUGGUAAAGCUUCAACCCCAGCACGCAUGUAUUAUGAACAAUAUAGACACCGCAGCUAUGACCCUCAACCAAUAUCUUAUUGGAAUCACCACUUGUGCUGUUGGUGGUGGAGUUGCAUGGGGAGCAAUUCAUUUCAGACCAACCCUACAAUCAUAAUAAGCUGCUGGAAGAAAAUACUCGGGAGGUUUCCUACGCUCUAUGGAAAUGAUUAUAACAUUUGCCUCUAGGUUACAGAAUUUGGUGUUCAGAGCAGAAGCCACCUCCAUAGGAGUAUAUACUAAAAUGGGGAUUUUUUUGGUUCGGUAGAAUUAGUUUUGGAAGGAAAAGGGGAGAAAAAAAAAAGAAAAGGGUUCUUUGAGAAGAGAAUGUCUUGUAGGAGAGAGCGGACGGAGCGAGGGAGGAGUUCUUGGUUGGUCAUUAGAACGUUUGAUGGAGCCAUCGUUGUAGACAUAACAUUUUAGACAUCGUUGUAGACCUAUUUAAGAAGAAAAAAGAUAUUUUGAUCUA